UAAUGGUAUAUCUGUGCAUGAUGUUGUCGGUGGUUAGUUUCGAUCGUUUCGAGUUUCAAAUGUUAAAGUUCUUAAUCCUUUGUUCAUUACUAAUCCCAAAGUCAUUAUUGAUAUGUGACUCAAUAUAUCGAUAUCACGAAUAUGCUAAUUGAAAAUUUUGGUUUUUCUUAACUCUAAAGGGGGUAUUAGCAAAAAAAAAAAAAAAAAGAGUUCUCAGAUUAGGAUUUUAAAAUAUGUGAGAAUGUUCAUGGUCACCCAUAAUUAAUGAGUUGCUCUUUACUCAUGUUCUUUUUGCCCCUGGGCUGCUCUUUCUCAAGCUUUAUGUGAGUUGCUCUUUGCAUACAUUAUUUCAUUAAGCUCAAAUAUUUAUAAUGUAUUUAGGACAAAAGUUGUUGGUGCUGGAGGAGGAGGUUCAACUGAAGUAAAUAUAUGAUUAAAAGUACAUGAAGGUGUUCCAAUCCCAACUUACUUUGACAUUGACAUGCAAGCGAGAGACACAUUUUCUGAAAAUUCCAAUCCCAACUUUCAAAUUACAGAUGGCAGAUCCAUUAACUGCAUUGAUGUAUGUUGUAUGAGUUAUGAACUUCCUCAAGGCGCUCAUUUCAAAGACACUCUAAACUAGAGAAGAUUCUGUUAUAGGACCAGCAUGGGAUUCACCUUUAGACCCGUCUGAUGAGGAAGAGCAUCAGGGUCCUUUAUUGUGCCCGGAAGAUGCUAAUGAGGAUAAUAAAGAGAGGGAGAAGAUUUUGAUCGCUGAAGAUCCUCUUUCAAAGAAUUCCUCCGACUUGACUCCGGCAAAUAUCAUCACUGAUGAAGUAUGUCUCGGUGAUCCAACUCCAAGCAAGGAAUCUGGUGAAGCUCGCACUAAUGUCUCCGCUGAUGCUGAUACCCAAGCAAAUGUGAUGAAGGCUACAACAGUGAAGCUCGAGAAAAUUACUUCAGGGAGCAUUACAGAUCAGUCAUAUGAAUCAUAUGAGAGUAAGACACCUGGGAAGUUUAAUGCCCUGCAUAUAGUAUUUCAAUCAUUGGGACCUAUAGACAGAAGUAAAAUGCUCAGCAGAGUAAACACAUUGACAGAGCAAAAUGAGGCCUGACUACUGUGAAGGAAAUGGUCAAUUAUAAGCAGUGCAUUUAGUCAGCUAGAAUGUAAGGUUGCGAAGAUUUGUAAAUCAUCUAUUUCUUUUCUUAAACAUUUGGAUUCUUGCAUUUCAAUAUCUGUAAUGAUAUUACUUCAUGUUUCA